rnacentral:misc_RNA from 1 species
AAGUCGUAACAAGGUUUCCGUAGGUGAACCUGCGGAAGGAUCAUUAACACGUAUCCAACGUUAAACAACCCUGUGAACUUUAAGUCCCCUCUUGCAGCCCAUGAGGAACAGCAAUCCCGGUAAAUCAUUGCCAAACAGUUUUGAUUCGGGACCUCUGUCCAAAAGGAGUUGCAAUCGAAGUGGCUUCCCCAAUGAAUGACAGUGUCACUGACUGUGUAAGGAUAACGCCUCACGGUUGCUAGAGGUCGAUCACCGACCGGCAGACAUGUCACAGGGUCACCACGCCCCUUAAUCACUCCACUUGAAAAUGCCCCGCCUAGUGGUAACGCGCUAGGUAAAAAAAACCGAACAACUGUUAACAAUGGAUAUCUUGGUUCUC